GCUACACUUAGUGACUCUGAGGGACGUGCAACCCUCCCUGCAUGCUGCUGCUGCUGCACCUACAAUCUUGCCACCCCCAAUGAGAUCUGCCCACCCCUCUUGGCCGUCUUCCCCACGCUCAGGUUUUCCUCACUCUUUCCCUGAGAUCCACGCGCCCGCGUAGCCCGAACUCCGACCCUGAGGCUCCGCGCCCUGGCCCCCAUCGCAGGGGCGCCUCUAGGAACCAGAACCCCGCAGAUUACUGCACAGACAAGAUCGUGCCCCCAAGAUCGGCGAGCCGGGCGCCCACCGCGCCCCCAGCCCCCGCCCUGGGAGUUCCUGCGCCGCCCGCAGCGGCCCUGAGCUUCAAUCUGCACUUUCAAAACUUCCCAGUUGCCUCCAGAGCCCUGCAGUUGAAGAUCUUGUCUAGCACGUGGUUUUGCUGUUGUCCUCACCCCGAACUCCCUCCUUGGAGGGCCAUCGUUCUCUGUCUCAGAUUCCACCCUCCUUAUCACACAACUAGAGCUUCAGAGGACCGUGAUGGGGCUCCCAACUAAAGAGGGAAAGACCAUCAUAGCUCAGGGAUGAGGCUCUGAGAUCCUCAGAUAACAUUAAUUGUCCUCUGUCUUCUCUUGACUUGGCACAUCCUUGCUUGGAGCAGGGCAGGAGCACCUGAAAGGGAGGUGGCACCUGGAGGUCUCAGUCAUUUCACUUCUCUGAGCCUCAGUUUUCCCAUAUGCAAAGUGAAGAGGUAAGACUCCCUCAGGAUUUUGCAUCUUCUUAAUGGCAGAAACCUAUUCAAACAAAAUCUUACGUAAAUGUUCACUAUAGGCGGGGCGAGGUGGCUCACACCUGUAAUUCCAGCACUUUUAGAGGCCCUGGAGGCUCUUGAGGUCAGGAGUUCGAGACCAGCCUGACCAACAUGGCGAAAACCUAUCUCUACUAAAUAAUACAAAAAUUAGCUGGGCAUGGUGACACACACCUGUAAUUCCAACUACUCGAUAGGAGGCUGAGGCAGGAGAAUUGCUUGAACCCAGGAGGGAGGUGGAGGUUGCAGUGAGCUGAGAUUGCACCACUGCACUCCAUCCUGGGCGACAGAGUGAGACUCUCUCUCAAAAAAAAAAAAAAAGUUUACAAAGGAAUGUAUAUUGUUCUGAUUGACACUGAAAUAGGGUCAACUACCCCUGGUCACCAGAGCAGCAGGAACACCUCAGGGACCACACUUUGGAGUCACUGCCCAGAAAGAUUUCUGGGUCUUUAAAAGUCCCUUCCAGUUCUGGGAAAUCCUAUGUGAAAAAUGAUGGUCCCUGCUUGCUAGAAUCCCUACAGGUGACUUAUUAUCUAAGCCAUUUAACACAGGAUUGAAUACUAUGCGACUGUGUGCCAAGCAAGAAGCAGUGUUGUAUGGAACACCCUAGCUGUGUAUAAGGUAUCUGGUAAUACCACAGGAGGCCACAGUGAUAGACUGUGAUAACGGAAGUAAUUCCAUAUCCAGUUUAAGUGUCUUUUCUACGGAGUAUGAAUCGUUAUCUCCAUUCCAAUAUGGACUGAAAGGUAUCGACUUUUAUCCAUGUGCCAAAAAUUAGAUUGGCUGGUUCCUCUCUUCUACUCCAUACCAGGUCAGGUAUCAUAAUAAGAGCUCAGAGUGGUCCAAGCUGCCCAAGUAUCUGUGUCUUCCACUCUGACCUGUCUGGGAACUCCAAAUUUAUAUCCAACUGCUUACUUGACAACUAUAGUUAGUAGCCUACCAGGCAUCUCAAAUUUGACCUAGCCAAAGCAGAAGUCCUCAUUUUCCCCAUAAAUCUCCUCCCCAGUUUUCCCUGUCAGAAUCAAUGGCAUAAGCAACUACACCAUUGCUCAAAUCAGAACCUUAUGAGUCCUACUGAAACCAGCCAAAGAGUUUCAUAGACAGUUGUUUUUGUUUUGGAGACAGAGUUUCGCUCUUAUUGCCCUCACUGGAGUGCAGUGGCACGAUCUCGGCUCACUGCAACCUCCACCUCCUGGGUUCAAGUGAUUCUCCUUCCUCAGCCUCCCAAGUAGCUGGGAUUACAGGCACGCCACCAUGCCCAGCUAAGUUUUGUAUUUUUAGUAGAGACAGGGUUUCAUCAUGUUGGCCAGGCUGGUCUUGAACUCCCAACUUAAGGUGACCUGCCUGCCUCAGCCUCGCAAAGUGCUGGGAUUAUAGAAGUUGACCCUUUUGCAGUUAAAGCUUGAAACUUAUUUAUUUUAUCCGAGUUCCUUCCUUCAGGCCUCUCACAAAAAGUAUCAAAGAACUGAAGCCAUAAAAAGUAUCAAAAGAACUGAAACCAGAUCACUGCAUUAGAUGCUGGGCCCCUCAGUCACCAUGAUUGCUUCCUUGCCCCUCCCAUGUUCCUGUUUUCUUACAUAUUGUUACAUUUCUUUCCUGCUAUAUAAACCCUUGGUUUUGGUCAGUCAAGGAGAUGGAUUUGAGACUGCACUCCCAUCUCCUUGGCUGCAGCACCUGAUUAAAGCCUUCUUCCU